UCUGACUAAAAUUCAGUAAUAAAUAAAUAUUCUCCAAUGCAAUGUGCUGCAUUCCAUCUCCCGAUCUAGCGGCGGAGACGUGUUUAGAAUAGAUGACAUUAUACGAGGAAGAGAUGACUCCGAGCAGAAUACUCUGUAAUACUUCUUGUUGCAAUCACCACAGGGAAUCCGGAACGCUUCAUGUAAGGCACAAAAUUAUAAUACAGAACUAGGAAUCUAUAAGUCGGAAAUAAUAAUUUAAAGCAUUAAUAAAGCAACAUACCUUG